rnacentral:rRNA from 1 species
CAGUCGCCACGGUAAUACAGAGGGUGCGAGCGUUAAUCGGAUUUACUGGGCGUAAAGCGCGCGUAGGUGGUUUGUUAAGUUGGAUGUGAAAGCCCCGGGCUCAACCUGGGAACUGCAUCCAAAACUGGCAAGCUAGAGUACGGUAGAGGGUGGUGGAAUUUCCUGUGUAGCGGUGAAAUGCGUAGAUAUAGGAAGGAACACCAGUGGCGAAGGCGACCACCUGGACUGAUACUGACACUGAGGUGCGAAAGCGUGGGGAGCAAACAGGAUUAGAUACCCCAGUAGUCCCUGUCUCUUAUAC